GUAGAAGUCUAUCAGAAUAUUUAUGGAUUAAACAACAAGAAUCGUCAUUUAAAUGCUUCAAAGACAAAAUUACCCGAUUGAGUGUCCGGGAUGCUUCAAAAUAUAACUCGAGCGGUCCGGACUACCCACUCUUGUACUGUAGGUUCAUGUAAUUAUUAUUCCGUAUAUAUACUUUAUAAUGUUAUACUUUUUAAUUUGUAACUCAUUUUUCGAAAAUAUAUAUCGGGUACUUUUUUUUUUCCCACGGCGAACACGUGACGGCGAAACAGUCCCGUUCACGUGUGCAUAUAUACUUUACUCACAAAUCUACCGAAGAUUC